rnacentral:lncRNA from 1 species
ACCUCUCCACCCUCCUUCUCCCCCUUCCCACCCCCAUUACCCUCCAGCCCCUGCUCACCCUCCAACCCAUCACCAUCACCAUCACCCUUCUGCUCCUGUUCACCCUCCUCUCAACCCUCCGCUUGUUCCAGUUCACCCCCCUCUUAAGCCUCCGGUUCCAAUUCACCCUCCUCUUAACCCUCCGGUUCCAGUUCACCCUCCUGUCAAGCCUCCUGUUCCAGUUCACCCUCCGGUCAAGCCUCCUGUUCCAGUUCACCCUCCGGUCAAGCCUCCUGUUCCAGUUCACCCUCCGGUUCCUGUCCACCCUCCUGUUCCAGUGCACCCCUUCCGUAGAAGCUUUGUUGCAGUUCAAGGAGUUGUCUACGUGAAGUCCUGCAAGUAUGCUGGCGUUGACACCCUCUUGGGGGCCACACC